rnacentral:rRNA from 1 species
AACCGGCUAACUACCGUGCCAGCAGCCGCGGUAAUACGGAGGGGUGCGAGCGUUAAUCGGAAUUACUGGGCGUAAAGCGCAUGCAGGCGGCCUGUUAAGUCAGAUGUGAAAGCCCGGGGCUUAACCUCGGAAAUUGCAUUUGUAAACUGGCAGGCUAGAGUCUUGUAGAGGGGGGUAGGAAUUUCAGGUGUAGCGGUGAAAUGCGUAGAGAUCUGAAGGAAUACCAGUGGCGAAAGCGGCCCCCUCGGACAAAGACUGACGCUCAGAUGCGAAAGCGUGGGGAGCAAACAGGAUUAGAUACCCUGGUAG